UUCGGAUAUACAGUAGAACAACUAAAUUUUGUAGCAGCUCGUUUUGGUUUAAUCAGCUCAAACUUUUCAGCCCAUCAAGUGCACCGAACAAUGGUCAAAUCCUGCGACCGCGAUAAUGAAUGUGCUGACUAAUUCAGAUAAUUAGUGAAGUGAAGAAUGGUUGAUUUUAGGUUUUACUUACAUAAUUCAGUUUAUGCUAGUUGUAUAGCAAUUUCAAUGUUCAGCACUUCCGUGCAUUCGGAGCAGCAGAAUGGGCGUUUCGCUACCCCUGGGGACUCACCCACACACGCGAAAUGGUACCAACUGGAACACUCAUCACAGGCUACCAUUUGGUCAUUGUCCGGACCGUGGCACUUCUUGCAUUCUCCAGUCAUCUCGUUAUAAUUUUUUUGAGAUUUGUUCGGAUAUACAGUAGAACAACUAAAUUUUGUAGCAGCUCGUUUUGGUUUAAUCAGCUCAAACUGUAAAUAAUAUUUUUAUUUGAAAUGAACAAACAGCAUCAUAUUUCAAGACUUACAAAAUUAGUUUCAGCCCAUCAAGUGCACCGAACAAUGGUCAAAUCCUGCGACCGCGAUAAUGAAUGUGCUGACUAAUUCAGAUAAUUAGUGAAGUGAAGAAUGGUUGAUUUUAGGUUUUACUUACAUAAUUCAGUUUAUGCUAGUUGUAUAGCAAUUUCAAUGUUCAGCAGUAGGUUUAAAUAUAAUCAAUAGGAUAAGGUUAUUGUAAGCUAGUUUUAAGAAGAUAUCGCAUAUAAUUUUAGGAAAGAUAACUUUAGAUUUAGUAAGCACGUUUCUUAUUUUGCAUGUCACUUUUUAAUAUAACAAUUCCUCUCUCUCUCUGUCCGCAUCUGUCAGUCAUUGAAUCAGUUGACAUUUCGGCGCAAGGUUCCUCGCAUCA